GACGUAGGGCGCGAGCGUUGUCCGGAUUUAUUGGGCGUAAAGAGCUCGUAGGCGGUUUGUUGCGUCGGCUGUGAAAUCCCGAGGCUCAACCUCGGGUCUGCAGUCGAUACGAGCAAACUAGAGUGUUGCAGGGGAGACUGGAAUUCCUGGUGUAGCGGUGAAAUGCGCAGAUAUCAGGAGGAACACCGGUGGCGAAGGCGGGUCUCUGGGCAACAACUGACGCUGAGGAGCGAAAGCGUGGGGAGCGGACAGG
rnacentral:rRNA from 1 species